rnacentral:lncRNA from 1 species
GUGACGAUUGAGGAAUCAAAGAUGAGAAAUACUGAGGAUUUGAAGCCAACAAAGGAUGCAGAGUGGAAUUCAAGGAAAGAUAUGUUAUAUGAGGAGAAAUUAAAACCAAAGAAGGAUGCAGAGCUGAAGCCCAUGAAUGAUAUAUUUGGUGACAAUUUAAAUAUAAUAAAAGACACUGAACUGAAGCCAAAGACGGAUGCAGAGCUGAAGCCAAUGAAUGAUAUUUUUGGUGACAAUUUAAAUAUAAUAAAAGACACUGAACUGAAGCCAAAGAAUAAUUCUUUCAAUAGCAAGGAGUUAAAGCCGGUGAAAGAUGAGGAAUCAAAGCCAAUGGAGGAUAUUCUAGAGACCG